rnacentral:rRNA from 1 species
GGAGGGAUCAUUACAGAGUUGCAAAACUCCCUAAACCAUUGUGAACGUUACCUAUACCGUUGCUUCGGCGGGCGGCCCCGGGGUUUACCCCCCGGGCGCCCCUGGGCCCCACCGCGGGCGCCCGCCGGAGGUCACCAAACUCUUGAUAAUUUAUGGCCUCUCUGAGUCUUCUGUACUGAAUAAGUCAAAACUUUCAACAACGGAUCUCUUGGUUCUGGCAUCGAUGAAGAACGCAGCGAAAUGCGAUAAGUAAUGUGAAUUGCAGAAUUCAGUGAAUCAUCGAAUCUUUGAACGCACAUUGCGCCCGCCAGUAUUCUGGCGGGCAUGCCUGUUCGAGCGUCAUUUCAACCAUCAAGCCCCCGGGCUUGUGUUGGGGACCUGCGGCUGCCGCAGGCCCUGAAAAGCAGUGGCGGGCUCGCUGUCGCACCGAGCGUAGUAGCAUACAUCUCGCUCUGGUCGCGCCGCGGGUUCCGGCCGUUAAACCACCUUUUAACCCAAGGUUGACCUCGGAUCAGGUAGGAAGACCCGCUGAACUUAAGCAUAUCAAUAAGCGGAGGAAAAGAAACCAACAGGGAUUGCCCUAGUAACGGCGAGUGAAGCGGCAACAGCUCAAAUUUGAAAUCUGGCUUCGGCCCGAGUUGUAAUUUGCAGAGGAAGCUUUAGGCGCGGCACCUUCUGAGUCCCCUGGAACGGGGCGCCAUAGAGGGUGAGAGCCCCGUAUAGUUGGAUGCCUAGCCUGUGUAAAGCUCCUUCGACGAG